CACCGCGCAAAACUUCUUCGCGAUCAAUUUCAUCGGCAUCCCGCAUCUUGGUUUCAGGGAGAAGCAAAGUGAAAAAGAUUGCUCCCCACAUGCAGCCGCAGAAAAUCCACAUGACAUUGCCAUAGCCAAUUACAGAUGUUAAGAAGUUAAACAACAGAGAAGCCAAGAUGGCACCGCAUUUACCCAAAGCAGCAGAAAGACCAUGAGCGGUACCACGAACACGUGCAGGAAAAACUUCAGCAGGAUACAAAAAAGUAGUGGCAUUGGGUCCAAAAUUAGAGAAAAAUUGGGCAAUGACAAAACAUGCAAAUCUUCCACCCGUAGAAAUGGUGUCCCAACUACCUGCAAGGAUGGCAAACAUUAAACCGGUAAUAAACAAUCCUUGAAGUUGGAUCCAUUUACGGCCAAGUUUCUCAACGAGGAAAACUGUAAACCAAUAACCAGGAACAUAACCAGCAAUUGCAAUGAUGAGAUUACCGAUAGCACCACGCAUAAGUGUGUGAUACUCAUUCUUUCCCGAACUAAAGCCAAUGGCCUUUAAAAUGACGGAUUGAUUGAGAUUAACACCGUAAAAGGCAAUAUCGAGUAGGAACCAGGACACGGCAGUAGCCAAGAGAUGCUUGAAAUGGUGCCAUUGACUGAAAUAUUCGAUAAAUCCACUGGUAUUCUCAGAAGUUGGAACAGUGGAUGCACGUUUAUCUCCAAAAUCCUCUGUAGAAGUAGGGUGAGAGUCCGAGGAGGUGGUCAAAUUAAUUUGCUUUUCUUCAACAACGUUUUGGUUAUCUUUCUUCGGUUCGUCGUCGUCAGCAAUGUAGGUAUCGUUGUCGGUAUACUUGUUGAGAGCUUUCGACUGUUCAUAGGACUUGGAUUCCUUCAUAGUGAGACGUGGAAUCAAAACGAGGAGGGCAGGAACCAAAGCCAAACCCAUUUGAAGACGCCAUACACCUUCAAGCUUAGUGUACUCGCCACGUUGGUUGAGAGGCUUCUCAAAGCAGGCCAAGAGGAUGAUAGUGACGAUGGCGCCGGCCAGAGUACCAAAGCCUUGAAAGGAGAAGACGAUGGAGAGAAGGGUACCACGACGACUAAGCAAAGAGCGUUCUGAUGUGAUUGUUGCGGACAUAGGAUAGUCACCACCAAUUCCUAAACCCAGCAACCAACGCCAAGCAAAGAUCCACAUCAUUUUACCAAGAGGAGUAGGUAUACUUUUGGGAAGGGCGAUGACAAGGACGGUAGCAAUAAUAACGACGAUCAUCUCUUUACCGUAGACAAAUUUACGACCAAAGAAAUCGCCCAUGAAGCCAAACAAGAUUUGACCAAAGACAUUUCCAAUGUUAGCGGCAGCGUUGACAAGACCAUGGAUACCGGAAGGGUAGUGAGGCUUUUUGCCCUCCAAACCGCCCCAGUAUAAAUAUUCGUAAAUGGGGGAGACGAGAUUAAUGAUGAACAAGUCAUAAGAAUCGAGGAAGAAACCGGCACCAGCAAAGCCCAUGAGCUUGAAUUCUCGUUUAGUCAAACCAAGCCAAUGGCGACGAGUAUCGGACUCGGCGACAUCAGCCAAGGAAACUUCGUUGUUUUCAUUGGAGUUUUUGGAGUGAGAUUUUGAAAAAGGAUUUAAGCGAUUCAUAGUGUAGUGAAUAGAUUGUUUAACAGGAAUGCAAAUCAAGGAAUUGAGUUGAAUUGGGGAGAAAAGUUUU